UACAGAGGGUGCAAGCGUUAAUCGGAAUUACUGGGCGUAAAGCGUGCGUAGACGGUUACAUAAGUCAGAUGUGAAAGCCCCGGGCUCAACCUGGGAAUUGCAUUCGAGACUGCUCUGCUAGGGUGCGGAAGAGGGAAGCGGAAUUUCCGGUGUAGCGGUGAAAUGCGUAGAUAUCGGAAGGAACACCAGUGGCGAAAGCGGCUUCCUGGUCCAGCACCGACGUUCAGGCACGAAAGCGUGGGGAGCAAACAGG
rnacentral:rRNA from 1 species